AUUUUUUUUUCUUUAAAACUUUGUAGAAAAUCCCACACACCCAAUUUGGCCUUGUCUGGGAAAUGUGAGGAUUCCUUUCUCCUGGGACAGACAGUCUCACUGCCAGGCAUCCUCCCUCUGCAGUGAUUCAUGUCCUGCAAUGUCUGCCCUGAUGUGUCAAUUGUCGAGUCGGUCCCUCAUGGAGGCCCAGAGGCCCCAGCCCAGAGCCCCUUUGUCAGUCAUUGGCUGAGAGUGGUUGGGACAGGUGACCCCGCAGUUGAGGCGACCCCCCACGAUCUCUGGAAAAGGCAGCUGAGCCCCAGUUGCAGCAGGUUGGGGGAGAUGGUGCUGCCACAGCGCGAAGGACCUAGCCCCAGUGGCACCCACCACUGUCAGAACUCUCCACCGAGGGCCAGGGUGGAUCUUUCCUCCCACAUCCAAGCGCAUCUGACAUCUUCACCUUGAAUCCUGAGUUUCUCUCUUAACUCUGUCUCACUCUGUCAUGAACAAACUCUUUCUUGAAAGUUGUAUUUCUCUGGGGCCAGAAAGGCGAGGAAAGAGGCGCUUUCUCCGGGGAGGUGGGGCUAGUGUGUCCCUGUCGUGGCUGAGAGUGACUGCCCCAGCACCUACGAAGAAAGCCCAGAGACUCUGGAGGCUCAGCUGGGAUAACGCCUGGCGUGCUCGGGGGUCAUGGCCACCGCCUGGACUCUGGAAAAAUGGGGAAAAUGCUCUUGGCAGACAGCGGGGCAGUCAGGAGGGAGCCGGCCCCACCAGCCCAGGCAACGCCCGAGAGCUGUCCUCCCACUCGGCUCCAGGAGACGUUUAAAUGGGGCCUGACUCCCCCUGUCUCUGAUUUAAAAGAUAACCAGAAGCAGCAGAGAAAACAUCUGAAGUGCUUCCUGGACACACCGGUUAGGAAGUUUCUGCGAGAACCCAGGGAGGCGCCACGUAGCAGCUGCAAGAGCCCCGAGACAACCUCUGCACUGUUUAUGGGAUCCCAUUAGGGGAGCAGCGGCCCUGCAUGACCCCACAGGUGAGCAGGACACCUCAUCACAGGGUAGGCACGUGAGCAGACUCACCCUCACACAGCUGCCUCCAGGGCUGCCCAGGUCAGGUGCUCAGAACACAAAAGAAAAUGAGACAAAGUCGCCACCCUGGAGCUUACGAGCUGGCGUGGGAGACAGGCUGGCACUGAGGAUGACAGUGGAGAGAGAUCGGGCUGGGAAGAACCAGAGGCGCUGGGGAAGCCGGGUCAGCAGGGAGACCCCAGCAGAGUGGGAGCUGGAGGACGGCGGCGACUGCAGCCCGACUGUUUCAGGUGGCGUCCUCGUCACAAGAGGAGCUUGAGCGGGUCGUGGCCUUCCUGGCAACCUGCCUACAGAGGAAACGAUGGCUGGGUGCAGAUGUCUCGAACAUUUAUUGCAUUCCACGUCAUCAGUCAAUAACAGCUUUGCGAGCAUAAUACUGACAAAAUCAAGUUCAGGCGGUAAGCCCCAGGGCUCCCAAGAAAAGUGGAUCGGGGGGCUUGCUCAGCUCUGGUAUCCAGGCGGGGGCCACUGCCUGGUUCCCAGGCAAAGGAGUACAAACUGCCGGGAGAAACAAGGACCCUGCAGGAAGAAGGGACCUGCCCGACUGGUUCCCCCGCACCCACAUCAGGAAUUUUCCCAGAAAGCCAUCCACUUUGUUAGAGACAAAAUAAAGGUCAUUUGGAG
rnacentral:lncRNA from 1 species